GACGAACGCUGGCGGCGUGCUUAACACAUGCAAGUCGAACGGAAAGGCCCUGCUUUUGUGGGGUGCUCGAGUGGCGAACGGGUGAGUAACACGUGAGUAACCUGCCCUUGACUUUGGGAUAACUUCAGGAAACUGGGGCUAAUACCGGAUAGGAGCUCCUGCUGCAUGGUGGGGGUUGGAAAGUUUCGGCGGUUGGGGAUGGACUCGCGGCUUAUCAGCUUGUUGGUGGGGUAGUGGCUUACCAAGGCUUUGACGGGUAGCCGGCCUGAGAGGGUGACCGGCCACAUUGGGACUGCGAGACGGCCCAGACUCCUACGGGAGGCAGCAGUGGGGAAUAUUGCACAAUGGGCGGAAGCCUGAUGCAGCAACGCCGCGUGCGUGAUGACGGCCUUCGGGUUGUAAACCGCUUUCGCCUGUGACGAAGCGUGAGUGACGGUAAUGGGUAAAGAAGCACCGGCUAACUACGUG
rnacentral:rRNA from 1 species